rnacentral:rRNA from 1 species
AGGACGAACGCUGGCGGCGUGCUUAACACAUGCAAGUCGAGCGGAAAGGCCCUUCGGGGUACUCGAGCGGCGAACGGGUGAGUAACACGUGGGCAACCUGCCCUUAGCUCUGGGAUAGCUCCGGGAAACCGGAAUUAAUACCGGAUAUGACCUAGGCCGACAUCGGCCGUGGUGGAAAGUUUUUCGGCUAGGGAUGGACUCGCGGCCUAUCAGCUAGUUGGUGGGGUAAUGGCCUACCAAGGCGACGACGGGUAGCCGGCCUGAGAGGGCGACCGGCCACACUGGGACUGAGACACGGCCCAGACUCCUACGGGAGGCAGCAGUGGGGAAUCUUACGCAAUGGGCGAAAGCCUGACGCAGCGACGCCGCGUGGGGGAUGAAGGCCUUCGGGUUGUAAACCCCUUUCAGCAGGGACGAAGCGAAAGUGACGGUACCUGCAGAAGAAGCGCCGGCUAACUACGUGCCAGCAGCCGC